GUAGAGGGGCAUUAUGUUUUCUGGUCUGUGCGUCUGUCCGUCCGUCUGUUCGUUCGUCCGUCCGUCUGUCCCGCUUCAGGUUAAAGUUUUUGGUCAAGGUAGUUUUUGAUGAAGUUUAAGUCCAAUCGACUUCAAACUUAGUACACAUGUCCCCUAUGAUAUGAUCUUUCUAAUUUUAAUGCCAAAUUAGAGUUUUUACCCCAAUUUCACGGUCCACUGAACAUGGAAAAUGAUAGUGCGAGUGGGGCAUUCGUGUACUUAGGACACAUUCUUGUUUUG
rnacentral:lncRNA from 1 species